rnacentral:lncRNA from 1 species
AAAAAAACCCCCAAAAAAACCAGAGGGCAAACGAAAGAAUCUCGCACGGCGGGAGAGCGACGCCGGCUCACGGGUGGUCCGAAUGUUGCGAUAAUCCGCGAGGUUAUCCUCAAAAACAACGUUCUACGUGCCAGCAGCCGCCAUGUUGGAAAAAGCAAGUAGAUGCAGCCGUGUUUCCGGUCCGCACUUACGACGAGUUUCCGCCGAAACAACAUCCACCAAACGAGAACCGCAGUUUUCAUAUCUGUCGAAUGUGCUGGAAUGAAUCGACCUAACGGAACAGCGAGACACGGUAACAGUGCAUGAUAGGCUGCAUUACACCUCAUGGUGAGUUUUAUACGUAGCUGCUAUUAUCUUGUAAGCAAACGUUUAAAAAAAAUACAUAAUUAAAUUAAAUUAAAUAUUUUAAUGAUUAAACGAUUUAAAAUACAGCAUAUUUAGCAGUGACCUUUUCACAAAUUAACAGCUGUGAAAGUUGUGAGAGGAUGUCACAUGAGAGGUGGUUUGUUGUCAAUAAAUUCAUAAAUGAGUGAGCUUUUGGAAAUUCAAACCUUGAAAUAUGCAUAUUAAAGCAAAAUGCUCACUGAUAAGGAUGCUUAGGGAUUUGCUAAGGCCUUUUUCAUAAACCAACACUUUUGACAGUUGUGAGAGGAUGUCCCAGACACAUGAGAGGUGGUUUGAUGUAAAUUUUUCAUGAAUGAGUUAGCUAUUGAAAAUGCAAACCUUGAAAUAUGAGAGGACAAAAAAUGCAAAUUGUUUUCCCGGCACAAACAUAGAAACGACAGCUAGCAGGCCGUGAGGAAAACAUUUGCUGAAUAUUACAAAAAGUGUAUUGGAUUAAGAUCGUUUACUGUCCCUUUAAAAAGUCACAGGAAGAAGACCUGAUGAGGGUCAAAGUAUAAUUUGGUAUCAGACUGCCUCGCCAUAUGCAAAGCUUGUAAUUCAGGGUAGAGAUUGUUUUCUUUCACUGCUCUUCUGUACUAAACUGAGCAAUAUAGGGUUAAAUAUAUAAUAUCCAAUAUGUUUUCAUUAGAUUAGAUCCAGUAUUUUUGGAGGAUAAAUCAGUUUCAGUGUGAUACAGGCAUAUUAGGGCACAUUAAAAGACAAUAAACCACUGCCAUAUGCACCACUGAACAGUUUUAAAUGGAGUGAAUGGACUGCAUUCUGUAAAAAUUCCAUAAAAAAAGAACUAGAAAGAAAGAAUGU